rnacentral:rRNA from 1 species
UACAGAGGUCUCAAGCGUUGUUCGGAUUCAUUGGGCGUAAAGGGUGCGUAGGUGGCUGUGCAAGCCUGGUGUGAAAUCUCGGGGCUCAACCCCGAAACUGCACCGGAUACUGCAUGGCUGGAGGACUGUAGAGGAGAGAGGAAUUCACGGUGUAGCAGUGAAAUGCGUAGAGAUCGUGAGGAAGACCAGUUGCGAAGGCGUCUCUCUGGGCAGUUCCUGACACUGAGGCACGAAGGCCAGGGGAGCAAACGGG